UCUCAAUUACGAUUCUUCACCUUUUUGUGCUUUGCAAGUGCUAUCUUGGUAUUACAAGUAAACUCAUUAAAAUUUAUGAAUCUUGGAAGAUGUAAAAAAGGAGAAGUUUACGAAAAUUGCCCCAAAAUAUGUCGACCAACCUGCAAAUAUGGAACCUACGCGAAUUCAACUGCGAUAUGUGCUGAAACACAUGAGUGUAUACCAAGUUGUAUUUGCAAAUUAGGGUAUAUUUUAGAUCCGCAAUCGAAAGAAUGUUGGUCUUUAGUUUAUUGUUGGUUUAAACAGGGAAGGAUUAGAAUGAAUCAGAUUUUUGGUAACAAAUAAGUUUACAAUAACAUUUUUAAUCUUGUAUAUGUAUUUUAUUGAAAUAAAUUUUUAUUUUUAA